rnacentral:rRNA from 1 species
AGAGUUUGAUCCUGGCUCAGGAUGAACGCUAGCUACAGGCUUAACACAUGCAAGUCGAGGGGCAGCAUGGUCUUAGCUUGCUAAGGCCGAUGGCGACCGGCGCACGGGUGAGUAACACGUAUCCAACCUGCCGUCUACUCUUGGACAGCCUUCUGAAAGGAAGAUUAAUACAAGAUGGCAUCAUGAGUCCGCAUGUUCACAUGAUUAAAGGUAUUCCAGUAGACGAUGGGGAUGCGUUCCAUUAGAUAGUAGGCGGGGUAACGGCCCACCUAGUCUUCGAUGGAUAGGGGUUCUGAGAGGAAGGUCCCCCACAUUGGAACUGAGACACGGUCCAAACUCCUACGGGAGGCAGCAGUGAGGAAUAUUGGUCAAUGGGCGAGAGCCUGAACCAGCCAAGUAGCGUGAAGGAUGACUGCCCUAUGGGUUGUAAACUUCUUUUAUAAAGGAAUAAAGUCGGGUAUGGAUACCCGUUUGCAUGUACUUUAUGAAUAAGGAUCGGCUAACUCCGUGCCAGCAGCCGCGGUAAUACGGAGGAUCCGGGCGUUAUCCGGAUUUAUUGGGUUUAAAGGGAGCGUAGAUGGAUGUUUAAGUCAGUUGUGAAAGUUUGCGGCUCAACCGUAAAAUUGCAGUUGAUACUGGAUAUCUUGAGUGCAGUUGAGGCAGGCGGAAUUCGUGGUGUAGCGGUGAAAUGCUUAGAUAUCACGAAGAACUCCGAUUGCGAAGGCAGCCUGCUAAGCUGCAACUGACAUUGAGGCUCGAAAGUGUGGGUAUCAAACAGGAUUAGAUACCCUGGUAGUCCACACGGUAAACGAUGAAUACUCGCUGUUUGCGAUAUACUGCAAGCGGCCAAGCGAAAGCGUUAAGUAUUCCACCUGGGGAGUACGCCGGCAACGGUGAAACUCAAAGGAAUUGACGGGGGCCCGCACAAGCGGAGGAACAUGUGGUUUAAUUCGACGCAACGCGAAGAACCUUACCAAGUCUUGACAUCCCUUGACGAUGCCGGAAACAGUAUUUCUCUUCGGAGCAAGGAGACAGGCGGUGCAUGGUUGUCGUCAGCUCGUGUCGUGAGAUGUUGGGUUAAGUCCCGCAACGAGCGCAACCCUUAUGGUCAGUUACUACGCAAGAGGACUCUGGCCAGACUGCCGUUGACAAAACGGAGGAAGGUGGGGAUGACGUCAAAUCAUCAUGCCCUUUAUGACUUGGGCUACACACGUACUACAAUGGCGUUAAACAAAGAGAAGCAAGACCGCGAGGUGGAGCAAAACUCAGAAACAACGUCCCAGUUCGGACUGCAGGCUGCAACUCGCCUGCACGAAGUCGGAAUUGCUAGUAAUCGUGGAUCAGCAUGCCACGGUGAAUACGUUCCCGGGCCUUGCACUCACCGCCCGUCAAG